rnacentral:rRNA from 1 species
GUGAACCUCAGUCAGGUCGGUCCA